AGCAGCCGCGGUAAUUCCAGCUCCAAUAGCGUAUGUUAAAGUUGUUGCAGUUAAAAAGCUCGUAGUUGAAUUUCGGGGUUAGUAGGUUGGUCAUGCUUCUGGUAUGUACUGGUCUCACUGAUUCCUCCUUCCUGAUGAGCCGUAAUGCCAUUAAUUUGGUGUUGCGGGGAAUUUGGACUGUUACUUUGAAAAAAUUAGAGUGUUUAAAGCAAGCUAACGCUUGAAUACAUUAGCAUGGAAUAAUGAAAUAGGACGUUCGAUCCUAUUUUGUUGGUUUCUAGGAUUGACGUAAUGAUUAAUAGGGAUAGUUGGGGGCAUUAGUAUUCAAUUGUCAGAGGUGAAAUUCUUGGAUUUAUUGAAGACUAACUACUGCGAAAGCAUUUGCCAAGGAUGUUUUCAUUAAUCAAGAACGAAAGUUAGGGGAUCGAAGACGAUCAGAUACCGUCGUAGUCUUAACCAUAAACUAUGCCGACUAGGGAUCGGAUGAUGUUAAUUUUUUAAUGACUC
rnacentral:rRNA from 1 species